UUACGACCAUAUCACGUUGGAACACCGGUUUUCAUGCGAUCCCUAAAGUUAAGCAGCGUCGAGCCUGGUCAGUACCUAGUUGGGCGACCGGUUUGGAAUGCCAGGUUCUGUAA